AUUGAACGCUGGCGGCAGGCCUAACACAUGCAAGUCGAGCGGAUGAAGGGAGCUUGCUCCUGGAUUCAGCGGCGGACGGGUGAGUAAUGCCUAGGAAUCUGCCUGGUAGUGGGGGAUAACGUCCGGAAACGGGCGCUAAUACCGCAUACGUCCUGAGGGAGAAAGUGGGGGAUCUUCGGACCUCACGCUAUCAGAUGAGCCUAGGUCGGAUUAGCUAGUUGGUGGGGUAAAGGCCUACCAAGGCGACGAUCCGUAACUGGUCUGAGAGGAUGAUCAGUCACACUGGAAUUGAGACACGGUCCAGACCCCUACGAGAGGCAGCAGUGGGGAAUAUUGGACAAUGGGCGAAAGCCUGAUCCAGCCAUGCCGCGUGUGGGAAGAAGGUCUUCGGAUUGUAAAGCACUUUAAGUUGGGAGGAAGGGCAGUAAGUUAAUACCUUGCUGUUUUGACGUUACCAACAGAAUAAGCACCGGCUAACUUCGUG
rnacentral:rRNA from 1 species